GCAAAAUGUAGCAGGAUGUAGCAGAGUUAGCCAAGGGGCUAACUCUGCUACAUCCUGCUACAUUUUGC
rnacentral:pre_miRNA from 1 species